rnacentral:rRNA from 1 species
GACGAACGCUGGCGGCGUGCUUAACACAUGCAAGUCGAACGCUGAAGCUCAGCUUGCUGGGUGGAUGAGUGGCGAACGGGUGAGUAACACGUGAGUAACCUGCCCUCUUCUUUGGGAUAACGCCCGGAAACGGGUGCUAAUACUGGAUAUUCACUGAUUCUCGCCUGGGGGUUGGUGGAAAGGUUUUUUCUGGUGGGGGAUGGGCUCGCGGCCUAUCAGCUUGUUGGUGGGGUGGUGGCCUACCAAGGCUUUGACGGGUAGCCGGCCUGAGAGGGUGACCGGUCACAUUGGGACUGAGAUACGGCCCAGACUCCUACGGGAGGCAGCAGUGGGGAAUAUUGCACAAUGGGCGAAAGCCUGAUGCAGCGACGCCGCGUGAGGGAUGGAGGCCUUCGGGUUGUAAACCUCUUUCGCUCAUGGUCAAGCCGCAGCUUUGGGUUGUGGUGAGGGUAGUGGGUAAAGAAGCGCCGGCUAACUACGUG